AUGCAAGAAGACGAACCGUGUCACCCAGUGACUGAAAGGCGCUUGGCAGAUCGCCUGCGGCUGCGGUCAGCGCGGUCAGCUAUUUAUUUCCUGCCUGGCUUCUCCUCCCCUCUUCCAGGGCGGCCGACGCGGGCCGAGGACACCGGGUUCCGGGCUCCCCGUCCGCCUCCAGCUCCCGCCUGCAGGUGGCGCUGCUGCGACGGCGCCGGAGGCCGCAGACACCGCCUCUCUCUGGGCUCCGCCCUUCCGCGCCGAGGUGCCCUGUGCGGUCCGAUCCUGCCGGGAGGCGAGACCACCUUCCCCGAUCCCCAAACCCUAGCGUGCUGAGGGCUGUGGCCCGAACAGCCCUGCGGGGCCUGAACAGCAGCUUCUUUCUAACCAUCCCGUUGCCCCUUUGCCCUCGAGGGAGGCUACAGAAACGAGAACCCCUUUCUCCGCGCCAGGUCAUGGCGUCUCGUCCCCAAAGCCAGCCACACACCUGCCGUUCUCGCUCCAGCUUGGGCCAUUCUGGCCGAGGACAUUCCGGGCCCAGACUGGCACCUGGGUGGUCACGGCCCCUCCUUCCAGGACAGCUGUGUCCCCAGCUGGGAGCGGGGCGCCCCAGAGACUGAGCACAGCGCAAGCACUAGCGAGUCCAGCCACCCUUCCACGCAGCACUCCGGCCUCCCUUCUGCUGAUCCAGGCAGAAGGACAGCCUCUUCCCUGGGUCUCCGGGCCUGUCUCUGCAGGAUCCCACGUCACUGCAAACUUCGAUGACAUAAAUCUGGUUUUUGUUUGUCCAUUUGUUUUCUAAGAUAAAGCCUUGUUAUGUAGCCCAGGCAGGCCUUGAACCCAUGGUGAUCUUCCUGCCUCGGCCUCCCGAGUGCCGAAAUCACAGGCGAGCCUGUGCCUGGUUUAAUGAAAUACCAUAAACGUGUUGACUGUUGUCUUUUUCCUUAACUUUUGUAAUAGGAGUGACCUCUGUGACCCUGGUGAUGGGGGUAACAUGGCGCCUCAUCCCCACAGAGGCUGCAGGCAGGCGGAAUGUGGUCCCCUCCGUUCCCUGGGCUCCCCACUGCCAGGCCGCCCCAUGGCCUGGAGGGCUGUCAUCACGGCUUCAUCUCUCUCCCAUCCAAAUCCCAGCCAGUAGGAGAAGCCCUGAGUGUCCUGAAGAGAAGCAAUGUGGAGCCCCACGUGCCCCUCAGAGAGCUUCCAGGCCGGGUGUGGUGGUGCGUGCCAGCUGUCCCAGCACAUGGGAGGCUGAGGCAGAAGGAUCUCCGUGAGUUCAAGGUCAGUAUGGCGUACAUAGCGAAACUUUGUCUCAGAGAG
rnacentral:lncRNA from 1 species